AUCAGGCAGUGCUUGUCGCGGCUUAUUUGGGGGAUUUGUCAAGUGGAUAAUGGGGAAAGAGGAGAAUGGAAGCGAUAGUCUCGCAGUUCAACUUGCUGAUGAAAAGCAUUGGGAUGAACUUGUUAUUGUUAUUGCCGUGGUUAGCUCUCGGCAAAAGGAAACAAGCAGCACCUCAGGAAUGCGUGAGACUGUUGAAACAAGUUUGCUUUUACAGCACAGAGCAAAGGUAGUACAAAU